rnacentral:rRNA from 1 species
UGAGGAAUAUUGGUCAAUGGGCGAGAGCCUGAACCAGCCAAGUCGCGUGAAGGAAGAAGGUCUUAUGGAUUGUAAACUUCUUUUAUAGGGGAAUAAAGAUGAGUACGAGUACUCAGUUGUAGGUACCCUAAGAAUAAGGAUCGGCUAACUCCGUGCCAGCAGCCGCGGUAAUACGGAGGAUCCGAGCGUUAUCCGGAUUUAUUGGGUUUAAAGGGUGCGUAGGCGGGUUGAUAAGUCAGUGGUGAAAGGUUUGCGCUCAACGUAGACAUUGCCAUUGAAACUGUCAGUCUUGAGUACAAAUGAGGUAGGCGGAAUGUGUUGUGUAGCGGUGAAAUGCAUAGAUAUGACACAGAACACCAAUUGCGAAGGCAGCUUACUGGGAUGUAACUGACGCUGAGGCACGAAAGCGUGGGGAUCAAACAGG